rnacentral:rRNA from 1 species
GACGAACGCUGGCGGCGUGCUUAACACAUGCAAGUCGAACGAAUAGCGAUGGAAGCUUGCUUCUAUCAAUCUUAGUGGCGAACGGGUGAGUAACGCGUAAUCAACCUGCCCUUCAGAGGGGGACAACAGUUGGAAACGACUGCUAAUACCGCAUACGAUCCGACCUCUGCAUCUAGGAUGGAUGAAAGGUGGCCUCUAUUUAUAAUCUAUCACUGAAGGAGGGGAUUGCGUCUGAUUAGCUAGUUGGAGGGGUAACGGCCCACCAAGGCAAUGAUCAGUAGCCGGUCUGAGAGGAUGAACGGCCACAUUGGGACUGAGACACGGCCCAGACUCCUACGGGAGGAAGCAGUGGGGAAUCUUCCGCAAUGGACGAAAGUCUGACGGAGCAACGCCGCGUGAGUGAUGACGGCCUUCGGGUUGUAAAGCUCUGUUAAUCGGGACGAAAGGUCUUCUUGCGAAUAGUUAGAAGAAUUGACGGUACCGGAAUAGAAAGCCACGGCUAACUACGUG